AGAGUUUGAUCAUGGCUCAGGACGAACGCUGGCGGCGUGCUUAACACAUGCAAGUCGAACGGAAAGGCCCUGCUUUUGUGGGGUGCUCGAGUGGCGAACGGGUGAGUAACACGUGAGUAACCUGCCCUUGACUUUGGGAUAACUUCAGGAAACUGGGGCUAAUACCGGAUAGGAGCUCCUGCUGCAUGGUGGGGGUUGGAAAGUUUCGGCGGUUGGGGAUGGACUCGCGGCUUAUCAGCUUGUUGGUGGGGUAGUGGCUUACCAAGGCUUUGACGGGUAGCCGGCCUGAGAGGGUGACCGGCCACAUUGGGACUGAGAUACGGCCCAGACUCCUACGGGAGGCAGCAGUGGGGAAUAUUGCACAAUGGGCGGAAGCCUGAUGCAGCAACGCCGCGUGCGGGAUGACGGCCUUCGGGUUGUAAACCGCUUUCGCCUGUGACGAAGCGUGAGUGACGGUAAUGGGUAAAGAAGCACCGGCUAACUACGUGCCAGCAGCCGCGGUGAUACGUAGGGUGCGAGCGUUGUCCGGAUUUAUUGGGCGUAAAGGGCUCGUAGGUGGUUGAUCGCGUCGGAAGUGUAAUCUUGGGGCUUAACCCUGAGCGUGCUUUCGAUACGGGUUGACUUGAGGAAGGUAGGGGAGAAUGGAAUUCCUGGUGGAGCGGUGGAAUGCGCAGAUAUCAGGAGGAACACCAGUGGCGAAGGCGGUUCUCUGGGCCUUUCCUGACGCUGAGGAGCGAAAGCGUGGGGAGCGAACAGGCUUAGAUACCCUGGUAGUCCACGCUGUAAACGGUGGGUACUAGGUGUGGGGUCCAUUCCACGGGUUCCGUGCCGUAGCUAACGCUUUAAGUACCCCGCCUGGGGAGUACGGCCGCAAGGCUAAAACUCAAAGGAAUUGACGGGGCCCCGCACAAGCGGCGGAGCAUGCGGAUUAAUUCGAUGCAACGCGUAGAACCUUACCUGGGUUUGACAUGGAUCGGGAGCGCUCAGAGAUGGGUGUGCCUCUUUUGGGGUCGGUUCACAGGUGGUGCAUGGCUGUCGUCAGCUCGUGUCGUGAGAUGUUGGGUUAAGUCCUGCAACGAGCGCAACCCUUGUUCACUGUUGCCAGCACGUUAUGGUGGGGACUCAGUGGAGACCGCCGGGGUCAACUCGGAGGAAGGUGGGGAUGACGUCAAGUCAUCAUGCCCCUUAUGUCCAGGGCUUCACGCAUGCUACAAUGGCUGGUACAGAGAGUGGCGAGCCUGUGAGGGUGAGCGAAUCUCGGAAAGCCGGUCUCAGUUCGGAUUGGGGUCUGCAACUCGAUCUCAUGAAGUCGGAGUCGCUAGUAAUCGCAGAUCAGCAACGCUGCGGUGAAUACGUUCCCGGGGCUUGUACACACCGCCCGU
rnacentral:rRNA from 1 species